AUUGAACGCUGGCGGCAUGCCUUACACAUGCAAGUCGAACGGCAGCAUGAUCUAGCUUGCUAGAUUGAUGGCGAGUGGCGAACGGGUGAGUAAUACAUCGGAACGUGUACUGUAGUGGGGGAUAACUAGUCGAAAGAUUAGCUAAUACCGCACACGACAUGAGGGUGAAAGUGGGGGACCGCAAGGCCUCAUGCUCUAGGAGCGGCCGAUGUCUGAUUAGCUAGUUGGUGCGGUAAAGGCUCACCAAGGCGACGAUCAGUAGCUGGUCUGAGAGGAUGAUCAGCCACACUGGGACUGAGACACGGCCCAGACUCCUACGGGAGGCAGCAGUGGGGAAUUUUGGACAAUGGGCGAAAGCCUGAUCCAGCAAUGCCGCGUGUGUGAAGAAGGCCUUCGGGUUGUAAAGCACUUUUGUCCGGAAAGAAAUGGCUCUGGUUAAUACCUGGGGUUGAUGACGGUACCGGAAGAAUAAGGACCGGCUAACUACGUG
rnacentral:rRNA from 1 species